rnacentral:lncRNA from 1 species
CUUGCACCUGAUUUUUCUUUAGUCAACACAGUAACCCUGUGUUAUAGAACUACCAUUGUUUUCUGCUUUCAGGGAAAGAAGCAGAGGCCUAGAGAGAAUCCAUUAGUCUCCUGAGGCUUGAAGGAGAAUAUUUCUCAGGCCUAGAGGCUGCCAAGUCUACCAACCGCAGAUCCCCACUGUUCUUAGGUCUGCCCAGCACCCAUUGGCUUCUCCCAUCGCCCUCAUCCUUUCUAACCCUCCUCAGCAACAACAGCCUUCCAAAGACAACAGUGACUCUUUCCUUAUGGUUAAAUAUCUUCUGGCCUCCUGACACUUGUGGUCAGGAGAGAUAAAGGCUUUUACAGUGCUGGGAUAUGAGGAAUGUGGCCUGUGCUCAGUCUGUGUGUCUGUGGAGGACUCAGGGCAGGAUUUCCCAAGUAACGGAGGGGUUCCUCUUAUCCUGGGUGGUCUAGCUGGGAGGAACCAGACAUGCUUCAGCUUCAUUAACAGCUCCCUCAGACUGCAGGAAACAUCCUGAGGUUUCUACACUGCAACUUCCAGGAGGCAAUGGCCACUUCUUUUUGGUUCCUGAUGGUGUCUGGAUUCAACCCUUCUUUUGAGUUUUGAUGCUUUGGUCCACGAUUGGCUGGCCCCAUUGCUUUGGAUCUGCUCACUCAUGGCAGAAACGCACAGCUGGGGAAGCUGCUUGUCUCCUGCUAACCAACAAGGACAGAAAGAAGGGGUACCACAGCGAGAGAGAACCUGAAUCAGCCACCGUCAGAGAGGCCGAUUAAGCCAAACUACUGCUGCCUAAGCUGCUUCUUGUUAUUUUUCUCUGGGCCAGGUUAAAAGGCACUUGAGAACAAUGGGCCAUCAGCUCUGCCUCCUGUCUGUCUGGGAAGAUGGCUGCCACGGCCGCCAGUCCCAUUCCAUUUCAGCAAUGAGGUGCCACAAGAGGCUCACACACAUAACCCCCGCAAAGAUGGAAAUGAGUGUAUCUCCGCAAAAGGGGAAGCGGAGGGGGUGAGGUGAGGGGGCGGAGGAAGGAGCGCCACAACGCUGUG